GGCGCAAUAGCUCAGCUGGGAGAGCGACAGACUGAAGAUCUGCAGGUCCCCAGUUCAAUCCCGGGUUGUGCCA
rfam:Sphaerobolus stellatus SS14 unplaced genomic scaffold SPHSTscaffold_3, whole genome shotgun sequence.